UACGUAGGGGGCGAGCGUUGUCCGGAGUUACUGGGCGUAAAGGGCUCGUAGGCGGCGUGUCGCGUCGGGCGUGAAAGCCCGGGGCUUAACCCCGGUUCUGCUUCCGGUACGGGCAUGCUGGAGUGUGGCAGGGGAGACUGGAAUUCCUGGUGUAGCGGUGGAAUGCGCAGAUAUCAGGAGGAACACCGGUGGCGAAGGCGGGUCUCUGGGCCAUUACUGACGCUGAGGAGCGAAAGCGUGGGGAGCGAACAGG
rnacentral:rRNA from 1 species